ACCCCCAUGAAUUCUGUGGUCUUUGUGCUGCUGUAUCUUAUUUUCCUGGUAUAUUCAGCUCUUGGACUCCUUGGUCACUUCUCCCCUAGCAGACUCUACUCAGGACUCCUUGAUGGAUCCUUAACAGGCUUCCCUGACUUUGAACCAUGGAGUCUGGAGUUUGGGGUUCUGAUGGCUUUUCCUCAAGCAGGCCUUCAGUUCCUUGUAGGGACUGAGUCACCUCCUCCCCAGUGUCUAGCUCCGCACACCAAUGGGAGAGACAGUUUUUGCUAAGACAAAAAAGUAAGUCAUGCAUGUCUACUUGCCCUAUAUCUGCACAACUAAAUGACCCUUCUCCAGACCAAGAAGCUCAAGUUCUAUCAGAUUUAAAAAGAGAUCAGCUUGGUGCUUUGUGACCACCUAGAGGGGUGGGAUAGGGAGGGUGGAAGGGAGAUGCAAGAGGGAGGGGAUAUGGGGAUAUAUGUAUAUGUAUAGCUGAUUCACUUUGUUGUACAGCAGAAACUAACACACCAUUGCAAAGCAAUUAUAGUCCAAUAAAGAUGUUAAAAAAAAAAAUAGUGGAGGGUGGAUAGGCAGCUUUUUUAGCCAAGGAGAAGGAAAGUUAAGAGAACAGGAGAGACUGUGGCAAGGAAACUGGGAGUUUUAAAGAAGUGAGUGAUCAAUACUUUCAAUCUUUAUCAGAUUAAAUAAGUGAAAACUGAGAAGGAUCCACUGGAUUUCGACUUGGAGUUAUGGCUGGCUAGUCACAUGACUGCAGUGGUUUGAAGAGUGAAUGAAAGGUGGAGUAGAGGCGGUUUCUCCACUGUAAAGUUACUCCCUGCACACCGGCCUCCCCCAUUCUGCCCUCUUUGGAUGGAAAUCACUAUGCACUGCCUACACUCAAGGAAUCAGGACACAGGCUUCGCCUCUGUGAGGGUGGAGUAUCUACAUAGUUUAUGUUGAAGUCUUCUGAACCACAGCCUUUUCUUUCUAGGAACGUGUGCUUGCGAUGGCUGAGUCAGCAAGCCAGGUUGGUACAGCCCUUCCCAGUAUGUGGUCCUGUGGACCCCCAUCUGUCGCUGUGAACAUUUAAGGCUGUGUAGAUUUAGUAUUUAGUAAAGUGAAAGCUCCGAGUCCUAACCAUUGGACCACCAGGAAAUUCCCUUAAUGUGCUUUUUUAAGGGCAUCACUUUGGGAAAAAAGUCAUUAUAUAUUGUAUUUUGUGCACAUAAUUGAAGGAAGAACUGUAUCACCAGAUCAAGGAUGAAGCUGUCUUCAAGAACAACCUGAACAGAAACUGAGUGAUGCCCGGAUUCUCAUCUCUCUCUCUCUCCACCUUCUGUAAGCUUUCACUUUGAACUUACGGUGAUGGUGGGGUGGGGGGAGAGGCAGGGGAAGAAUCUACUAUACAAAGAUCAAGAACUUUGGGGGUCAUUCAAAACUAGGUUCAGAUUCGGUUUUGCAAACUUAACUUGGACAUGUUAUUUAAUGGCUCAGAAGGGAUAAAGGUCUGCUCAGUAACAACUCUCUCUCAGGCUUUUUGGGGAGAAUUACGUGUAAUGAUAUACAUAGGCACUUCGCAUAGCAGCUGCCCUUAGUAGCCACUCAGUACAAAGUAUUGGUAUUAUUAUAAAUUUAAGAUAUUAUUUGAUGACAAGGCUUUCUUGCCUGCUCUUCUACCAUCCCCCUGGCUGAAAAGCAAGCAUGCAAAAAGUGCAAAGAUCAGCUUUAAUAGAUUCUAAGACGCCAUCAGUUGUAAGAUGGGUCAUUAUUUUAUGUACCACUGCAAAACAAAACAAAAUAUGCUGCCAAUUGUACUGUGGCUCACUUUCUUAUCACUUGAUGUUUCUAUUUUACACUUCUUGAAAAAGCUUUUUUAGACUUAUGUAGAUGUACAUUAUCAAAUAUCACUCUUGUGCACACAUAAACAGGAAGAUAUAACCAAAAUAACUAAAGUAGUCCUAAAACAACUUCACAUUCUGUGUCUGUCGACUGUGAAUCAUACAGCAACUCGGAGGCACUGGUGUCUGUUUUUUCACUGGUGUCUGUUUUUGUCAUCCUUUGUUCCAACGAAAGCAUCAGUGAGACAGUAUUUCUUAAAAAAAAAAGAUGCUCCACUAAUGCUAGAAUUCUAGAACUUUUUCCAAGUUGCUGAUACCCAUUCUGCCAUUCUGCAAAUUUUGAUGCUGCUAUUUUCAUGAUCUCACCAGAAAUCAAGUCAUCAAGGAAAACAACCAAAUUAAUGCACGUGCAAGCCACAUCAGUCUUCUCUGCUGCCUGGCCAAUGGCCAAUAGAAGGUACCAUCCAUGGUAUAAAGCUUUUCAAUUCCAGAGAUGUUAAAAUGUAAAAAACUAUGUGCAUCUAAGAAUUGAUGUACAAAUGGUAGACGGUCUAUGUCAUUACACAUUCCUCACCUAGCAGAAAAGUCAUCAUAAAAUUAUUUGUAAUAGUGAGCUCAUCUAGUGCAUUAAUAAUAUUUGAAUAAUUGCUCUUUAGUUUGUAUAAAAUGAGGUGUACUUGUAUCGGUCUUUUUUUUUUUUUUUUUUUUUUACAUCAACAGACAAUGGUAGGCUGAGCUUUUAGGCGAAAAACAACUUGCCCUGAGUGAAGGGAUGGUCUUCUUCAUUUGUAUUAACAUCUUACUCACAGAGAGACAAGUUGGUGCCAUUUGAAGAUACUUGAAACCUGCAGCUUUUUCUUGCCAAGAUUUGUUGUUAUACAUAAAAAUCAAGCAGCAGCAAGGUUUCAAUAUUUCAGUUAUUUCAAGAAUAAUUCCCUUCAGCUUUCAAGUCGAGGGCAUACUCAGGUCAAAUUCAGAAAAAUGAAGAAAUCUUAUAAAAAUAUUAUACACUUUCUGUUCCCACCAAUACUCUUUUUAAAAAAUUGAGAUAUAUUAUACAUAAAAUAAAAUGCACAGUUCUUAAAAGUAUGGUUAAAUGGCAUAAACUCAUGCAACUACCACCCCAAUCAAGAAAUAGAAUGUUUCUAUCGUGACAAAAAGUUCCCUGGGCCUCUCUCCCAUCAAUCCCCCGUCCCUUCAACAUAAUCUAUCUUUUAACUUAAAUCAUGGGUCAACAACAUGUUGAAGUAUCAGAAAAAGAAAAGAGAAAAGAAAAGAAUCUUUUUAAAUGAUCAUGAGUUACACAGUGGAAAAUCUGAGUCCCAUAACUUCGAAUUAAUUACUACAGCUGCAUUGUUAUAUAUAAUAUCCUGUUGUCAAGUGACAUUUUUAUUUUUAAAAUAAUGAGUAUUGGGCUUUCCUGGUGGCGCAGUGGUUGA